CAAAUUAGCGAAUGGAUUAAGAGCUUGCUCUUAUGAAGUUAGCGGCGGACGGGUGAGUAACACGUGGGUAACCUGCCCAUAAGACUGGGAUAACUCCGGGAAACCGGGGCUAAUACCGGAUAACAUUUUGAACCGCAUGGUUCGAAAUUGAAAGGCGGCUUCGGCUGUCACUUAUGGAUGGACCCGCGUCGCAUUAGCUAGUUGGUGAGGUAACGGCUCACCAAGGCAACGAUGCGUAGCCGACCUGAGAAGGGGUGAUCGGCCACACUGGGACUGAGACACGGCCCAGACUCCUACGGGAGGCAGCAGUAGGAGGAAUCUUCCGCAAUGGACGAAAGUCUGACGGAGCAACGCCGCGUGAGUGAUGAAGGCUUUCGGGUCGUAAAACUCUGUUGUUAGGGAAGAACAAGUGCUAGUUGAAUAAGCUGGCACCUUGAUAUCGGUACCUAACCAGAAAGCCACGGCUAACUACGUGCCAGCAGCCGCGGUAAUACGUAGGUGGCAAGCGUUAUCCAAA
rnacentral:rRNA from 1 species